rnacentral:rRNA from 1 species
AGGACGAACGCUGGCGGCGUGCUUAACACAUGCAAGUCGAGCGGAAAGGCCCUUCGGGGUACUCGAGCGGCGAACGGGUGAGUAACACGUGAGUAAUCUGCCCCUAGCUCUGGGAUAGCUCCGGGAAACCGGGAUUAAUACCAGAUACAACCACUUUAGACAUCUGCUGAUGUGGAAAGAUUUAUCGGCUAAGGAUGGACUCGCGGCCUAUCAGCUAGUUGGUGGGGUAGAAGCCUACCAAGGCGACGACGGGUA